rnacentral:rRNA from 1 species
UGCGUAGGCGGUUAUUUAAGUAGGAUGUGAAAUCUCCCGGCUCAACCGGGGAACUGCGUUCUAAACUGGAUAACUUGAGUGAGAUAGAGGUGUGCGGAACUUCCGGUGGAGCGGUGAAAUGUGUUGAUAUCGGAGGGAACACCGUUGGCGAAAGCGGCACACUGGGUCUUAACUGACGCUGAGGCACGAAAGCCAGGGGAGCAAAC